AUCCAUGAUGACUUAUGUGGAAUCUCGUUCGGCUGAUAACUUGCUGUUGAGACUCGGAAUUCUGACUUUC
rnacentral:snoRNA from 12 species